GCACCACAAGGCGUGAAGCGUGCGGUUUAAUUGGAGUCAACACCGGAAACCUUACCGGGGGCGACAGCAGGUUGAAGGCCAGAUUGACGAUCUUGCCAGACAAGCUGAGAGGAGGUGCAUGGCCGUCGCCAGUUCGUGCCGUGAGGUGUCCUGUUAAGUCAGCCACCCCAUCGAGACCCACGUUCCCUGUUGCUAACAAAGAAAGUUUCCAAGGGGCACACUGGGAGGACAGCCGCCGAUAAGGCGGAGGAAGGAGUGGGCCACGGCAGGUCAGUAUGCCCCGAAUCCCCCGGGCCACACGCGUGCUGCAAUGGCCGGUACAAUGGGUUCCGACCUCGUGAGAGGAGGGUAAUCCCUAAAGCCGAUCGUAGUUUGGAUCGAGGGCUGCAACCCGCCCUCGUGAAACUGGAAUGCCUAGUAAUCGCGUGUCAUUAACGCGCGGUGAAUACGUCCCUGCUCCUUGCACACACCGCCCGUCGUUCCACUCGAGUGGGUUUUGGGUGAGGCGCGGUCCUUGGUGGCUGUGUCGAGCCUGAGGUUCGCGAGAGGGGAA
rnacentral:rRNA from 1 species